AUUGAACGCUGGCGGCAUGCUUUACACAUGCAAGUCGAACGGCAGCGCGGGGGCAACCCUGGCGGCGAGUGGCGAACGGGUGAGUAAUGUAUCGGAACGUAUCCUGUAAUGGGGGAUAACCAGUCGAAAGAUUGGGUAAUACCGCAUACGCACGAGAGUGGAAAGUGGAGGAUCGCAAGACUUCACGUUAUAGGAGCGGCCGAUAUCUGAUUAGCUAGUUGGUGGGGUAAAGGCCUACCAAGGCGACGAUCAGUAGCUGGUCUGAGAGGAUGAUCAGCCACACUGGGACUGAGACACGGCCCAGACUCCUACGGGAGGCAGCAGUGGGGAAUUUUGGACAAUGGGCGAAAGCCUGAUCCAGCCAUGCCGCGUGCGGGAAGAAGGCCUUCGGGUUGUAAACCGCUUUAGUCUAGGAAAAAGGGGUGCGGGGUUAAUACCCUCGUGCUUUGAUGGUACUGGAAGAAUAAGCACCGGCUAACUACGUG
rnacentral:rRNA from 1 species